UUUGGUGGCGAUAGCGAAGAGGUCACACCCGUUCCCAUACCGAACACGGAAGUUAAGCUCUUCAGCGCCGAUGGUAGUCGUG
rnacentral:rRNA from 1 species